GCCAGUACUGGCAGGGACUCACGAUCACGAGGCUAGCACCUCUGGCGGGGGUGGAGAUGAUCAAUCCGCUAGUCCAUGGCUAGCGUCUCCAGCGUCCACCAGUGCUCUUCAGUCGCCUCCUCACUCUCCCGUGGAGAGAGCUUUGAACGAGCUGGCUUUCAGUAGAUUCCGGAACAAUAUGCGUGUUGAGGCCAGGCGAUCGUCCGCUCGCCGGUCGCUGCUCGGUAGAUUGGGAGCUCUCCCAGGCGACGAGACGACGUUUUCUCAGCCAAAAGACCAACAUCCUUGGCAGCUGCAAAAUCCCAUUCCAUCGUUCCAGGGUCAGGAUGGGAUGGCUUAUCCACCGUCAUCUGCGGUUUCCUCCGAAGGGUCAGUUGGCGAGAGG